CCUACGGGAGGCAGCAGUGAGGAAUAUUGGUCAAUGGGCGCUAGCCUGAACCAGCCAAGCAGCGUGAAGGAUGACUGCCUUAUGGGUUGUAACCUUCUUUUAUAUGGGAAUAAAGUGCAGUAUGUAUACUGCUUUGCAUGUACCUUAUGAAUCAGGAUCGGCUAACUCCGUGCCAGCAGCCGCGGUAAUACGGAGGAUCCGAGCGUUAUCCGGAUUUAUUGGGUUUAAAGGGAGCGUAGGCGGGUUGUUAAGUCAGUUGUGAAAGUUUGCGGCUCAACCGUAAAAUUGCAGUUGAUACUGGCAUCCUUGAGUAUAGUAGAGGUAGGCGGAAUUCGUGGUGUAGCGGUGAAAUGCGUAGAGAUCACGAAGAACACCGAUUGCGAAGGCAGCCUGCUGGACUGUAACUGACGCUGAUGCUCGAAAGUGUGGGGAUCAAACAGGAUUAGAUACCCCGGUAGUC
rnacentral:rRNA from 1 species